rnacentral:rRNA from 1 species
GGACCCGCACAAGUAGUGGAGCAUGUGGUUUAAUUCGAAGAUACGCGCAGAACCUUACCAACACUUGACAUGUUCGUCGCGACUUUAAGAGAUUAAAGUUUUCGGUUCGGCCGGACGAAACACAGGUGCUGCAUGGCUGUCGUCAGCUCGUGUCGUGAGAUGUUGGGUUAAGUCCCGCAACGAGCGCAAACCCUCACUUUUAGUUUGCCAUCAUUUAGUUGGGCACUCUGAAAAGAACUGCCAGUGAUAAGCUGGAGGAAGGUGGGGAUGACGUCAAGUCCUCAUGGCCCUUACGUGUUGGGCUACACACGUGCUACAAAUGGUAUCUACAACAGGAAAGCAAAAACAAGCGAUGUUAAA